rnacentral:rRNA from 1 species
AUUGAACGCUGGCGGCAGGCCUAACACAUGCAAGUCGAACGGUAGCACAGAGAGCUUGCUCUCGGGUGACGAGUGGCGGACGGGUGAGUAAUGUCUGGGAAACUGCCUGAUGGAGGGGGAUAACUACUAGAAACGGUAGCUAAUACCGCAUAACGUCGCAAGACCAAAGAGGGGGACCUUCGGGCCUCUUGCCAUCAGAUGUGCCCAGAUGGGAUUAGCUAGUAGGUGGGGUAACGGCUCACCUAGGCGACGAUCCCUAGCUGGUCUGAGAGGAUGACCAGCCACACUGGAACUGAGACACGGUCCAGACUCCUACGGGAGGCAGCAGUGGGGAAUAUUGCACAAUGGGCGCAAGCCUGAUGCAGCCAUGCCGCGUGUAUGAAGAAGGCCUUCGGGUUGUAAAGUACUUUCAGCGGGGAGGAAGGUGCUGAGGUUAAUAACCUCAGCAAUUGACGUUACCCGCAGAAGAAGCACCGGCUAACUCCGUG